rnacentral:rRNA from 1 species
AGUCGCACGGUGAGACGGGCUUCGGCCCGAGGAUCAGUGGCGAACGGGUGCGUAACACGUGGGCAACCUGCCCCUCACACUGGGAUAACCCCGGGAAACCGGAGCUAAUACCGGAUACUCCGACCGAACCACAUGGCUCGGCCGGGAAAGGUCCGCCGGUGAGGGAUGGGCCCGUGGCCUAUCAGCUUGUUGGUGGGGUAACGGCCCACCAAGGCGACGACGGGUAGCUGGUCUGAGAGGACGACCAGCCACACUGGGACUGAGAUACGGCCCAGACUCCUACGGGAGGCAGCAGUGGGGAAUCUUGCGCAAUGGGCGAAAGCCUGACGCAGCGACGCCGCGUGGGGGAUGAAGGCCCUCGGGUUGUAAACCCCUUUCGGCAGGGACGAAGCGAUCGUGACGGUACCUGCAGAAGAAGCCUCGGCUAACUACGUGCCAGCAGCCGCGGUAACACGUGGGAGGCGAGCGUUGUCCGGAUUCAUUGGGCGUAAAGAGCGCGCAGGCGGUUUGGCAAGUCGGAUGUGAAAUCCCGAGGCUCAACCUCGGGACUGCUUCCGAUACUGCCCGACUAGAGGUAGGUAGGGGAGAUCGG